AGAGAGAGACAGCCAAUCACGAAAGAAGAGCCGCUGGCAAAGAAGCUGAGAGGAACCCAACCUUAUCACUAAGGGCGGGAGCACGCUCAGUGGCUAAAAUAGCAUCCAGCUGCAAAAGCGCGCGCUCGAGCUGCUAAGGCAAUAGGAAAGGCACCUCCCUCGCCCUCCCGCUGUGAAGGGGCGGGGCUUGCUAUUUUCGCCGCGGGGCGGAGGAGCGUCCCUUCCCCCCCCCCCCAGCUUGAGAGAGGCGGUCGGUCGGGAUUCCGCCUCUCCUCCUCCCCACCCCCCGCUCGCGCACGCCCAGUCAUAAAAAGCCCCAGCCGUGAGGCGCUUCUACCGCCGUUGGGUACACAUUUAUCAUGUUUGACAGCCGAGUUCGUAGGCUUGUUUACUUCGAAGCGAUCUGGCGGCCUAAUCUUCCAUUUCCAGCCGUGCGCACGUGUAAAGCUUGUCCCAGACUAGAAACCUUCAGACGAAUCCUUCAAUAUUUGGGGCAUGUGGGUCAUGUAGUGUCGUCGUCAGCGGGACAGAGAAGAAAAUACCAAGUCUAAAUUUAAAAAAAAAAAUGGCAGACCUUUUAAGAUGGUGCGUGUUUAAAAGAGUAACUGGUUGUGCCCGAAAAAACCCCAAAAUCCCACAACUUUUCGAGGAACAGGACGCUUUUCGGUGCCGAGCAAUGAAUUUCUGAGGGCAGUUGUAGCCUUCCUGAAUUGCCACCCCGAGCAUCCUUAUCCCUGCUGUCCGGAAUACUGGAAAUUCUUCGACAUCUGGAAAGGGGCCGACUUUGCCCGGGUAUCAAUUGGCAGGCUCUGCAUGCUGAUGGUGGGGCCCGGGUAAAGACCCAUGUUGGGAAGGAACUGAAGUCAGUGGUGAGUGGGGCCACCUCCUUCAGACACUGAACUUGUCUUUCUCAUUUCCCACUCUCUCUUCAGUGGUUUGCUUUUUACCAUGUGAAGUCCCAGAACUUCGGUUUCGUACUCCUAGGUGCAGGGUUCAAGUCUUGAUCCAUUGGUUGCAACAGAAAUUGACCAACUGGCUUAAGGCAGAGAGAUUGAUUGGCUCAAAGUUACACAGCUGGCUUUCAUACUUAAGACAGGACCAGAACUCGGUCUAUAGUUUCUAGCCUGGUGCCUUAACCACUGGACCAAACUGGUUCUCCUGUAAUGUCUACUUGUAUACCUCAAAAAUCACCAACUUACUCUAAUAUAUCAACUGGAGUUCUCGUCCUGCUUUUCUAACCAAGAUGUUUACCACUGAAAAUCCCAGAAACAAAACCUGACAUUGUCUGCAUAUAAUGGGUAUGCAGACCUGCUGAAAGCUGUGGAUCCUCCCAACUCAUUUUCUAAUUUCCAAAGCAAAAGCAGUUUGUGGCUACCUCUGGGCUAAGGAUCAACACAUUCUGUAGGUCAAUGGCCAACUUUCCUUCGCACUUUUCAUCAAGGGGAAAAAAAAGAUCAUUUGCCAAAAUUCUGUGCUCUUCUAACAAAAUGAGCACGGGCAACACAGCUGAGACUUGUAUUUAACCAGUUAUAAAAUAUUGAAUGCUGCCACUAAGCAUUUAAGUAUUACUAAAAUCAGAUUUUUGAUAUCUGCCUGUAAGUCACCUAGCAAAUAAAGAUUUUAAUAAUUA